GUGGGGGCUGCUGUGGGAGCUCCUCCUUUCCCCUGCCGUUACUCCCCCUGCCCUCCCUUAGGCACGGCUUGCUCUGCCUGCCCUGCCUGCAGCAACCUCGUGAUUGGGAUCGGAAGCAUUAUAACUUGGUGGCACGCUGGAGUUGUGUGGUCAGGCCCCUCUGCCUGUGUAUCCAGCUCUCAGCUCGCAAACACCCUCCAGUUCCUGAGGGGAGCUUCUGAGCGGGAGGGAGAGCAGCUUUUUUACACGGGCAGAGGGUGACGGGACGAGGAAGAACGCCUUUAAACUGAAAGUGGAGGUUUAGCUGAGGAGGAAACCGCUUUCCCGGAGGGCGGUGAGGCCCUGGCAUAGGCUGCCUGGAGAGGUGUGGGUGCUCCGUCCCUGGAGCGGCUCCAAGCCAGGCUGGGUGAUCCCUGAGCAGCCCCAGUGUGUUCCCAUCCCAUGGGUUCCCAUCCCCAAGAAGAGCUGUUGGAGUGAAUAAUGGCCAUCGGCUGUGGCUGAGCUGCUGUGACCUACCUGUGGUCGUGCUGAGGAAUGGCGUCCACCACUGCAAAGCUUCAGGGACCUUUCUGUGCCUUUCAGCAGGGCGCCUGGCAGCAGACAACAGCACUCAUUCGAACCGUGAGGAGGGAGUAGGCGUCUGUAAGGGAGCCAAUCCCGUGUUCUGGUGCCAUGGUGGAAGACAGGUUUCUUCACACCACUCCGCAAUGAGUGAACUUUUGCAAGCAAGGUAAUAAAUCAGCACCGUGCUGUAAGUUGUUUGCUCCACACCAGGCAUUGUGUUC
rnacentral:lncRNA from 1 species